AGCAUAAUCAUUAGUUCUUUAAUUGUGAUCUGGUAUGAAUGGCUUGACGAGACAUGAGCUGUCUUAAAGGUAUUUCUUUAUUGAAUUUAGUUUUUGAGUUAAAAUUCUUAGAUGUUUUUAUGGGACGAGAAGACCCUAUAGAGUUUGACACCUGCUUCUUCUUUUUUAUUAUGUUUGUUUAUUUUUAUAAGUUGAUUAGGUGUUUUGUUGGGGUGAUGGGAGGAAUAAAUUUUAACUCCUCUUUGAUUUUUUAUAUUUAUUUAUAUCUAUUUUGAUCCAUUUAUUUUGAUUAUAAGAUUAAAUUACCUUAGGGAUAACAGCGUUAUCUUCCUUGAGAGUUCUUAUUGGCGGGGAGGUUUGCGACCUCGAUGUUGGAUUAAGGUGAAUUUUCGGUGCAGGAGCUGAAAGUGAUUAGGUCUGUUC
rnacentral:rRNA from 1 species